rnacentral:misc_RNA from 1 species
UGCAACAGGAUUCUUCUGCACAUGUU